CAGGUGGGGAAUCUUCCACAAUGGGCGCAAGCCUGAUGGAGCAACACCGCGUGAGUGAAGAAGGGUUUCGGCUCGUAAAGCUCUGUUGUUAAAGAAGAACACGUAUGAGAGUAACUGUUCAUACGUUGACGGUAUUUAACCAGAAAGUCACGGCUAACUACGUGCCAGCAGCCGCGGUAAUACGUAGGUGGCAAGCGUUAUCCGGAUUUAUUGGGCGUAAAGAGAGUGCAGGCGGUUUUCUAAGUCUGAUGUGAAAGCCUUCGGCUUAACCGGAGAAGUGCAUCGGAAACUGGAUAACUUGAGUGUAGAAGAGGGUAGUGGAACUCCAUGUGUAGCGGUGGAAUGCGUAGAUAUAUGGAAGAACACCAGUGGCGAAGGCGGCUACCUGGUCUGCAACUGACGCUGAGACUCGAAAGCAUGGGUAGCGAACAGGAUUAGAUACCCUGGUAG
rnacentral:rRNA from 1 species